UACGUAGGGGCCAAGCGUUGUCCGGAUUUAUUGGGCGUAAAGAGCGUGUAGGCGGCCAGGUAGGUCGGUUGUGAAAACUGGAGGCUUAACCUCCAGACGUCGACCGAAACCAUCUGGCUAGAGUCCGGAAGAGGAGAGUGGAAUUCCUGGUGUAGCGGUGAAAUGCGCAGAUAUCAGGAAGAACACCCGUGGCUAAGGCGGCUCUCUAGUACGGUACUGACGCUGAGACGCGAAAGCGUGGGGAGCAAACAGGAUUAGAUACUCUGGUAGUCCACGCCGUAAACGAUGGAUACUCGAUGUCGGGCCGCAAGGCUCGGUGUCUAAGCUAACGCAUUAAGUAUCCCACCUGGGGAGUACGAUCGCAAGGUUGAAACUCAAAGGAAUUGACGGGGGCCCGCACAAGCAGUGGAGCAUGUGGUUUAAUUCGAUGCAACGCGAAGAACCUUACCUGGGUUUGAAAGGCUCUGUAAACCGGUGAAAGCCGGCUAGUGUAGCAAUACAUACGGAGUACAGGUGCUGCAUGGCUGUCGUCAGCUCGUGCCGUGAGGUGUUAGGUUAAGUCCUGCAACGAGCGCAACCCCUGCACUUAGUUGCCAUCAGGUCAAGCUGGGCACUCUAGGUGGACUGCCUACGCAAGUAGUGAGGAAGGUGGGGAUGACGUCAAGUCCUCAUGGCCCUUACACCCAGGGCCACACACGUGCUACAAUGGCCACUACAAUGGGCUGCAAAAUCGCAAGGUUGAGCCAAUCCCAUAAAAGUGGUCUCAGUUCGGAUUGAGGGCUGCAACUCGCCCUCAUGAAGCUGGAAUUGCUAGUAAUCGCGGAUCAGCACGCCGCGGUGAAUACGUUCCCGGGCCUUGUACACACCGCCCGUCAAGCCAUGGAAGCUGGGAGUACCCGAAGCCGUUCACUCAACCGCAAGGAGAGAAACGCCUAAGGUAAAAUCAGUGACUGGGGCU
rnacentral:rRNA from 1 species